GUGACUCUUUGCCAAUUGAGCAUCCCUGCAAUCACAGGUGGGCAGCUGAUGCAGCCAAGAGCUCCGUGAUGCCUCACCACACCCGUCGUGUUCCUGAGAGGACUCCCAGCCAAAGCUCAGCAUCACGGCCACCUCUGCCACGUGCUCCCUGAGGUGACUCCUCUGGAUAUCGAGCCCUGGAGGAGAGGUUACACCUCAGGUUUUGCCUGGCUUGAAGAGAAUAAAAAGCCCCAUUGGUGACAGCAACAUCAACAGAUGCAAACUAGGGAGUGAGUGUGGAAGUGAGCUGCCUUCACCUUUAUCUGCUGCUUUUGGACAGAUGAAUCCACACUACGGCAGAGCACUUGCAGAUUACUCUCCUUCUUCUGUGAAAGUUUGCCUAUCAGUGUAAGCGGCAUCUGGAGAUGGGAAAACUGAACUUCAGGUACUCCACCUUUCUUUCACCAGGUCAACAAGGAGAUUGAUUUUUCUUCUGCUAUGCUAGCAAAGCCACAGGCUUGUUUUUGAUUCCUACUCUUUAUGACAAGGACGGGAGUUGGGAGUAGGGGGGAAGGAAGAAAACUUUGAGGGACCAGCUCUGCCCCUUGCAGUCACUGAAGGGAUGCCUACCAAGGGCGGUGAAGGGAGAGGUCUUGCCAAGGCAGACAGUGCAAUCAUCUCUUUGUCUCACAUAGAAUCAGUGGGUCAUUAAUGUUUGAGCCAGCCUCUUAUUUCACUGCAGUUGUCUGCAUUGUCAAGGCUUUCCUCAAUCCAUCAAAAACCUGAAGGCCUUAACAGCCCCCAGCAAUGGCUGGAACAGGAGUUAUUCCUGAUCUAAAGCAAACCGUGCUGAUGGCCUCUCUUUCUGUGAUAUUUGCGACACUGAGCAAAGGGAUUGACCAACAAGAGAUGAUUACUUUUCCUUUUGUGCUCCCUUAGGUUAAAGUUUUGAGAAGACAAGGAUUAUCUCCAGUUUAGAAUCCUGCUUUUGAGCUGAUGGAUUCAUUGCAGGCUCUGCUCCCUUUGCACUCUCAGCUUCCUCCAAAAGAGGAGUAGAUGUGUGAGAGCCAGAAAACCAACCAUUGGCAGCCCUGUAUUGUGUGGGAUAUUUUAUUUACAAAGGUGGGGACAUUUGUACCAUCACCUUCUCUUGAUGGCUCCCCAAGCCUUGCUCUGCCAAUAGAGCUACAUGCAGAGAGGUCAUUAGGAAGACUAAGGUGAAUGCCUUGUGAAGGCCAGGAGACUGUUCUGGAGAAAGUCCCUUCCAGCACUGAAUUUUACAGUGGUCCAACGGGCUGGCAGGUGCAGUUUGUUUUACCUGGUUGCUUGGUUGCUUUGAUCUUUAAAAAGUCUUGUAAAUGCCUAAGAAGAAGAAAGUUGUUCACCUGUUCUGCAUAGUGGGGGAAAAAAUCCACCCCAAAUGCACAAUGGAGGGAAUAUCUGUCUCUCUGUGUCAGUGAUGCUAAACUGGAGUUUCAGUGGGAGAGGGCUCAGCCCUGGACAGGUUUUCCAGGCUAAUUGAAAGGAACAUGGUGAUAUCUGAAAUGCUACUUGCUCCAUGUGCUUGUGGCUUUGUUUAGCAUGGAGAUCAACAGAAAUGCAUAGGUAGCAUCUCUCUUUACACCUGAGCCUGUGAAGAGAGGGUGAGCUGCUUUAAUGGCUCUCUAUAUUUAUUGAAAUCUCUCUUUGUUGGGUAUCCUGGGGUUUACACUGACUAGUACCUUUCCAUAAGACAUCUCUCAAUCAACAGAGACAGCCAAGUUUACAGGGCAACAUUUUUCCCCUGCUUGUCAGCAUGUCAAGCAGCACCAAAACACACAAUCUCCUCCUGAAUCCCAUAGCAAA